rnacentral:rRNA from 1 species
AUACGUAGGGUGCGAGCGUUGUCCGGAAUUACUGGGCGUAAAGAGCUCGUAGGUGGUUUGUCGCGUCGUCUGUGAAAUUCCGGGGCUUAACUCCGGGCGUGCAGGCGAUACGGGCAUAACUUGAGUACUGUAGGGGAGACUGGAAUUCCUGGUGUAGCGGUGAAAUGCGCAGAUAUCAGGAGGAACACCGGUGGCGAAGGGGGGUCUCUGGGCAGUAACUGACGCUGAGGAGCGAAAGCAUGGGUAGCGAACAGGAUUAGAUACCCUGGUAGUCCAUGCCGUAAACGGUGUGCGCUAGGUGUAGGGGUCUUCCACGACUUCUGUGCCGUAGCUAACGCAUUAAGCGCCCCGCCUGGGGAGUACGGCCGCAAGGCUAAAACUCAAAUGAAUUGACGGGG